GGCCCCAUCGUCUAGCCUGGUUAGGACGGAAGAUUCUCAGUCUUUAAACACGGGUCCGAAUCCCGUUGGGGCUA
rnacentral:tRNA from 1 species